CCAGUUGACCGGGCGGCCGCUGCAUCUCGCGAUGUGGAGGAAAGUCCGGGCUCCAUGAGAACACGGUGCCGGGUAACGCCCGGCGGGGGCGACCCCAGGGAAAGUGCCACAGAAAGCAAACCGCCCGGCAGGUCCGGGUAAGGGUGAAAGGGUGCGGCAAGAGCGCACCGGGCAGCCGGCAACGGAGGCCGCAUGGUAAACCCCACCGGGAGCAAGACCGAAUAGGGACGAUGGAGGCUCGCCUCGGCCGCGUUUUCACGGCUUGUCGUCCGGGUUGGUUGCAGGAGGACCGCAGCGAUGCGGUUCCCAGAUGAAUGGUCGCCACGUCGAAGGCCCAGCCUUCGGCCCUACAGAACCCGGCUUACAGGUCAACUGGUGUC
rnacentral:RNase_P_RNA from 1 species